UAUUAUUAUUCAUAGGCCCCAUCUUUAUUCCAUUAUUCUCAGUAUAUCUCAGUUGGUGAUAGAGCCUAUACUAUCACUAGUUUAAAACAGUGUCUAGUUCAUAAAGGAUCAGUAGAGGAGACUAGACUAUUAUCAUCUACUGUACAGUCCCAGUGUAUCCCUCAGUCUGAGAGUAUUACUGAUAAUACACUACUCACACUCAAGGACUAUGGAGCUAGUCUACUCUCUUAUACUGGCACUAUUAGUAAAUUAUUGUGUACUGAAGGAGGAGUGUAUGAACUAGACAAUAAAAUAAAGUUAUUGAUCCAUAAGGAUAUGGUUGAUUAUGGUCUGAGGGUUGGGUCAGUUAUUACAAUAGAUAAUGUCCACCUUAUUAACGAAUGGUUCUGGAGAGGAUUCUAUUGCUGCAUCGUCUCUCAUUUAUUAGUAGUCUCAUUCUCUACUGAUGGAACUAAUCAUCAUCAAUCGUUGGUUCCCAGUAGGAACAGGUUAAUUAAAUUCAUAUCUCAACACUCACCACUGGAUAAACUGUGGCUACUGGAGGCAUACACUCUAUUGAAGAAUAAAUUAACGUUAGCCAGUAAUAAUUAAUAACAUGUACAUGUACAAAUGAUUCAUUAAUAAGAAUACCCAAUUACCAUACAGUGUCUAUUCUGGACACCUCUAUAAUGAGGAGGGGUAGUAUCAGUCCCAAUACAAUA